UACAGAGGGUGCAAGCGUUAAUCGGAAUUACUGGGCGUAAAGGGCGCGUAGGCGGCCUUGUAAGUCCUGUGUGAAAUCCCCCGGCUCAACUGGGGAACUGCACAGGAGACUGCUUGGCUUGAGUUCGGGAGAGGGAAGCGGAAUUCCGGGUGUAGCGGUGAAAUGCGUAGAUAUCCGGAGGAACACCGGUGGCGAAGGCGGCUUCCUGGACCGACACUGACGCUGAGGAGCGAAAGCGUGGGGAGCAAACAGG
rnacentral:rRNA from 1 species